UCUAUCUAUCUAUUGUCUCUCUAUCAUCUGUUUGUCUACAUAUCAUCUAUCUUUGUGACUUUCUCUGUGACUGUGAUCUGUAUAAAACACAUGAAUGUAUACGUGUAUGAUGUGCAUGCAUGUGUAGGAUGUGUGUGUGAGAGAGAGAGUGUGUGUGCAUGUGUGUGUAUGUAUGUGUAGGAUGUACGUGUGAAAGGUAUGCUUGUAGGGUGUACAUGUGUUAGGAUAGGCAUGUAUGCAUACUACAAUGCAUUUAUGUAUGUAUUUUGCCCAGAGGACAGCGCUGUGGGUCAGUCCCCCCUUCCCCCUGGCUGAGGCAGAGUCUGUGUGCUGUCCAUCGUAGUAUGAGCCAAGUAAGCUUGGUCUGUGAGCCUCUGGGGAUUCUUCUGUCUCUGCCUCCCAUCUUGGUGUCAGAACUUUGAUGUUAUAAAGGAAUGCUGCCAUACUUGGCCUGACAUGGGCUCAGUGUUCAUGCUUUUGUGGCAAGCACUGCCCACUGAGCAAGCUUCCUACCCCUCAAAGGCACAUUUCAGUUCAGAAGUACCUUCAUCUGCAUUGAUGAGUCACAUGAUCGAACUCCGAAGGCUGAGUAAUCACAUUUGGCUUCUGCUAUGCCCCUUGGGAGGUUCAAGAAGUCAUGUUUGUGGGAACGGGCAAAGUUUCCGAUCCAAUGAUUUCUUUCCCAUAUAGGCCCAAGGUUAAUGGAAAAAGAGGGGGAAGCAAAGGCAGUUGGGGAGAUUUCUGAACAAUCCAAGAUUUUCUAGGUCCCCGAAAGGCACUCAAUCUGACAGAGUGGAAAUCAAUUUCCAUGAGGAAACACAAAUUUUGGUUACGAUUGCACAGUUGUUUUUAUUGUAAUUGUUUGAGAUCUGAUAUUUUUUUUUCUCUCUCUCCAGAUCCUGUGGAGAAUAAACUUCCCCUGGGUUGAAGACCUUGGCUGUGUAAUUUGGGACAAGCUUCCUCAAAGAGGAAGUGCAGGAGGGAGUCUGCUCUGAGAGGACUUGGAUGUUUCCCAGACUAAGCAAAUGGCAGCUGUUCGGGACACUGAGGUACAGCCUGCUGCUGGGAACCGUUCCUGGCUUGCAGGAGACAGCACUGUCUUCCAUGGGGGCCUGUCAUUGCGUCUAUUUCCAACAGAGUCGGGGAAGUGGCAAAGACUGCAGCUGACAUCAGCGAGACCCAUAUCAGAGGCAGCCAGAAAGCGGAGCUUCAAUCCCACACUGCCACCAAGUGUGAUGUUAGCUUUUUCUGUCUCUGUCGGGGAACUUGCUUUCAGAUGAACUCUCUCAUGCACCAGCCACAAGGUCAAUGCACAUGUCUUAGCUGUUCCUGCCCAGGCCCCUUCUCGCUAGCUCUCACUGAGCAAGAAAAGAGAAGCCCAGGAAUCGCUCAUGUUUGCAAGGGAAGAGAUGAGUAUAUUCCACAGAAAUGAAUGCCAGCUCCUUUGAGGCCGUUUACUGAGGUCAAGAUCCAUUAGAAUAAAAUUUACAAAGUCAUCAGUUUCCUCCUUCAUUACACAUAAAUAAUUUAUGAAUUUUUAUUGUAAUUUUUCUCCCAGUAGAUUCAAGGCUCUUGGAUUUUGCAAAUGGCUCCAUACAGGAGCCAAAAGCACACAUAUUCCCCAGACUUCACUGCAAUCGAUACGCUUGCUCUUGCUGUCAGUUGCUGCAAUUUUCCUGAUUAACCUGUAAAAAGUAUUCUCCUUCACGAACACUGCUCAGAAAUAAACUGAUAUUGUAAGAGGAGACAAGGGCAGGUUCCAGAACACAACUUCUUGGUAAUCUUAAAUGAUGAUGUAUGAAAGAGACACGGGACGGGGGGAAGGGGAGGACAAUUUGAUUUGCUCCAACAAGGUUGACCCAGAAAGGAGAGGAGCAGAAAAAUGGCUUCGCCUAAGCAAACAUGACAUGAAGUCAUAAAAGAUGGGCACUCUAGGGCUGCGAUGUGGAAGCUGCCUGGGACUAUGCAUUGCUGGAUCCAGAGGAUGCUUAAACGCCAGUGAUAAAAUCGUCUCUACUCAUUCUGUUUCCUGCUGCCACUGUUUCUCCGCAGUAACUCUUACAUCUUUCUUUGAGACUCUAUCACUGAACGUGUAAGCUGCGGCUGACUCAGGAUUCAACCCAAAGUUCGGAUGGACGUCAUAAGCCGCUGAUGCUAAAACAUCCGUGGGAUUUAGACAGAGACGCUGCUGUGCUGGGGCGGGGCACACACUUUUCUUAUUUUUGCCAGUACUGGGGACUGAACUCAAGAUUUUGUACCUGCUGCGAAAGGUGAGGCCCUCUACACCCGAGUUACAUCCCUGGCACCACUCUUUUUACAUGCUCAUUCUUUCAAAGGCACAAUAAAAAAAAAACCAUCAGUCUAUUGCAUACCGAUCAUCAUGGCAUGUUCUGAUUUAAAUUGUAGUUAAUUGUAUUGCCAUUUUUCUGAGGUAUUAUGCACUCCGACUCUGUCAAGUUUGGACCAACAAAUACUUCUUGAAUGAACAGUGACUGACAACUCCGUAUGUGUGUUUUCAACAUAAGGUUUAUCUUAAUUACUGGGGAUGACAGAGUAGAUGGUUAGUUUAGAAAUCUUGACUGAGGGAUGCUAGGAAGUUGGGGGGGGGGAGGAGUAGGGAUGGUCCUGAUCAAAUGAAUUUAUCUCAAGCAAUAAUUUUUUUUUUAAAAAAAAGGGUUAAAAAGGAAAAGAAAACUUGACAAAGUUGCCACGAACAUGUCUGUUUUCUGUCUGUGUGAGAUACACACCAAUAUCCAUGCUGGACUUUUGGAAGGCUGUCCUGGUCACAUGACUCACUUUGGUCGGUUAGAUGUGAACCAGGUGAUACACUCCUCCUAGGUGGAGAUAUAACAGCUACAUGGCCAAGUCCUCCAACCACUGUGCCUGCCGUGUGAAGCGCUAAUGAACAGCUUCUCUGUCACCCAGAGUCCUGGAGGAAGGGUGUUAUGGUCAAUCCACAGUGACACUUGGCAUGAAUAAGAAAUCAACGUGUUUGAUUAUACCACCACGGUGGGGCUCUCCCCAGAGGCACAUUUGUCUCUUCUUGGCUCAUGCAGAUCAAUAAAGUAUUGCAAACUCUUCUAAAGAUUUCACAUCUAUGCAAACAUCGUCUCCCCCAAGUUUUUGACAGCUAACAAUAUAGUGGCAUUCCCGCUGCUCAUAGUUCAUUCAUUUUUGGCCAGCCUGGCUGCUUCCAUUUUCUAAUAGCUUGGUCAGUCUUUAAGUUGUAAGAAAACACCUGGGGAGUCAGGCUUCCGAUGGUAAUGACCAUGAAUGAGCUUAAGUAAUAGAAUUAUUAUGUACUGCAGAUAUCUCUCCACCUUUAACAUUUAUGAAGCAAAGUCAAUUCUUACUCGAGUGGGUUUCUUUUCCUUUGGUUUUCUCGACAAUGUUUAUGCCUGAGGUUUAUUGCCAGCAGUGGAGAGGAUCCAAGUAUGCUAUGGGGAUAGCCAAAUUCUAAAUGCUUUAAAAUAUAUGCUAUGGGUCCCAGAGUCGGUUAAAAGCCGAUUGAUUAUACAGCAAAUAUAUCAGAACUGGUAGUUAUGAAAUAUCCCAUUUCUUCAACUCUAUCUCUCAUCAGCAUGAACCUCACAUUGGGGAGUUGUGGAGCAAAUGUCUCAGACAGCCUGGAAGAAAAAUUACUGCAGGUUUUCCACGACAAGAAGAAGGUUUGGAAGUAUUUAAUGCGCAGUAUUUACUAAAAGGCCCAUGUCAACUGAUGUCUUAUAUGAACAAAAAUUUUUAAUUUCGACAGUUUAGUAUGGCUUGCUUGUUGAGAUUUUUGGAUCAAUUCACUGAAACACCAAUUUCAUUUCUUGAUAACAGAAGAUAACAAGAAUGAGUGGGCAGAUGGACUUUUCAUCUGGCUAGUUUAUAACUGACAGAAAAGUUCCCAUUUAAUUUGUUCAAGAUGCGGGUAGAAAGUUCUAGUGUGUGAAAAAGAAGAUGAGCUGUUAGACACGGCCUAGGAUGUUACAGAUGUUUACUGUAUUCCAUUUGCAUAUUCUGUCAAUGAUUAUUCAUUCGUUAAUAUUCCUUCUUCAUUUGUUUGGUGUAGUCCAUCCUAGAUUAUGAAAUCACACUCCUAUUUACUGUGAGCUAAUGGUUUAGGAAGCUCUGUGCCAGCUACUGUUCGCUGGAGGAUGUCUAACAGAGUGGUGUCUUUGAUGAGCAGGAACCCUGGCUUUUUGAUGACACCAGCACGAAGCCCUCACUGUAAGCCGAUCUUAUGUGUCAGGGCGUUUUACUGAGUGCUACGCAACUGGGGAGAACGCAAUACUCAAACGUGUGGAUUGAUUGGAAGUACAGAAUGCAUCAAUUUGGAUUUCAGCUACAGCCAAGGAAUCCUGAAAGAAAGUUUCAAGUCUGAAGAGUCGAGUCAAUCUAUUAGCAUCUUGUAAGACAGACCCGAAUCUACAUUAGUCCUAUCUGAGUCUGAACAAUGACAUGGAGAUCAUGAAGGCUUUUCCUGAACUAUUUAUGAGACUGGAGGAGCCUUUAACUCAGAGUUGAACAUGGUUUUUUAUUUUAUUAUUAUUAUUUUUUUUUUUGGUAGAUCGCCUCGAGACUGAUUUUAGAGCACCCAGACUGAAUAAAAAAUGUGCAAAGUGUUUCCUCCUUUAAGACUUGCACUGCGUUUUUAAUCACUCAAGGCUCCAUAGCAUUCUUUGGACAGGUCUCUCCAGCAGUGGUGGAGACUGUGUAGGCAUUGUCUCCCAGGAAGUUAUGUGGCUGGCUUUCUGAAUUGUCUAUCUUUCUCUUGGUGGUGUGCAAGCCCAUUUGAUGAAAUCCAGUUAUUCCCACUAUUCUUUGAUGUGCCUGAAAGAGUCAGUUCCCAAAGAGGGGAAACAGUCCAGAGUCUCUUGGCAGGAGCUGCGGAUUCCACGGCGGCAGCAGCCUUUCCGUGGGUUUCCAGCAGCGCUCGCCGUUGAGUUAGAUUUGUGCAUCCUUCAAACCCACAGACUAAGCAGCAUAUCGCGGAGAUAAGUCAUCCCUUUUUAUGGGUGUCUUCCGAGAGUCCCCACUUGGGCCCAAUCAAGUGCAAAGCCCCUGAAUGGAAAAGGCAGUUCUCUGCAGCCUCACGCUGCGUGUGUUGCCCGUAGAACAGCAAGAAGCACACGGAAGAAAGCCGGGUGCGCUGGUUUUCAUGUAUUUUAUUUUCUCCUGGCUUUGAAGGCGCACUGCACUUUGCUGCUGUUAUUACCAAGGGUGGAAAUGAAACUGGGGUGUCUCAGUGGGGUUUUAUAGCAAACAGACAAAGCAGGUUCAGGCAAGACAGGGCAGCCCAUGAUGGGAAGGGGAUCGGGCAGAAGCAGUGUUUGCAGGGGUGAGUGGGGCGUAAUUUAUUCAGCUGCAGCAGAGACUGGAAGCCAAUCUAACUCUGACCCACUUAUCUUUAGGAAAUGAAUUAAAGUAGAGAGUCUGGUGUGGUGUUGUUGGAGAAGGUUUGCUUUUCCUUAUUCAAGCUAAGCAAAGAUGGAAAGGUGUGGGUGUGUGCGCGCAAGUGUGUGUGUGUAUGUACGUGUGUGUAUGUACGUGUGUGUGUGUGUGUGUGUGUGUGUGUGUUGGGAUAGACUGUGGAAGGGAUCAGUUCCAACCCCAAAAGAGGGGCUGAAUCCCCAGAAAAUAAAAGGGCUUCUUAAAUCCAGCCUGACACGCUUUGAAAUGCAAAGUGGUGGGCCCCUGGCCGAAGACUCCUCUGGGGUGGCAAUGAAAUGCCCUGGCAGUUUGAAGUGAAAAACUAUUGCCCAAUCCUCACAACCCAGGCUUCCUAAAUCACACCCAAAUGUCCCAGAGGCAUGGGAGAACACUUUUUACGAGUGGCAUUUUACUCUGAAAACAGUAUUAGCCACCAGGCUGGACAACAAGUUCCCAGUGUUUCUGCCAUAAAUGUUUUGUUUCAAAGCAAUAAUUAAAAAAUAUAUAUAUAUAUAUAUAUAAAGUCCUCGCUGCACCUCCCCUCCAGCCAGGUUGGAGACUGAACCUCGGACUGUGUAUAUACUAGGACAGCAGAGACCCCCAAAGUGCAUAUCUUGAUGGUGUUCGGUCAUUUCUUAAGCCUGUCUGGGGGAUUAUUAAUAACAGCUUUGGUUCUACAAACACACCCGUGAAUUGAGGAAGACGCAACUCCGUCUUCCACCUUUCAUUAUUCCCAUUGGAUUCUUUGCAUCCUAAACACAGUCUCCUCCCCCUCCCCCUCCUGGCCCCUCCCUCCAUACCCUUCUCCCCUCCCCAUCCACUCCUCCUAAUGUUUCUCUUCAGAGAAGGACAGGCUCUCAAGGGUAUCAAUCAAACAUAGCGUAUCACGUUGCAAUAAGACUAGGCACCUCUUUUGUCAAGGCUGGACCAGGGGUGAUCCGGUAGGAGGAAAACGGUCUCAGAUGCCCAAGCUGGCAAAAGAGUCAGAGACAAGCUCUGGUGCCACAAGAAGACCAACAGUAGAAUUGGGGAUAUCUCAGGGAUGAGCUAGAAACCUACUGCAAUGGUAACUUCCUGUAAUCUAUGACGGUGGAGAGUCCAGAGACCUAGGAUAUGACCCAACCCGACUGGCAAAAAAAAAGUCAAUGAAAUGAAAAGAUUUCUAGUGAUAAUGAUACCCUGCUAUACUCAUAGAUUGGUGCCUGACCCAGCUGUCUCAGGGAGGCUUCCUCUAGCAACUAUGGGGACAGAUGCAGAGACCCACAGCCAUACAUUAGGCAGAGCUAUGGGGAAGUCUGUGGAAGUAGGGAAAGAAGGAUCAAUUGUAGGAGUCAGCGGGUAGGGUCAGGGGCAUCACAACAAACCCACAGGAUCAAAUAAUCUGGGUGCAAAGGGGUUCCCAGACACUGAGCCACCACCCUGGAAGCAUGCACGGGACUGACCUGGGCCCUCUACAUGUGAGUUACAAUUGGGAUGCAGAUAUUUUUGAUAAAGUCCUAUCAAAAGUAGAGUUUGGGGUUUCCGUGUUUGGUGAUAGUAGAGAAGGAACUCCGGUAGACACGGGGUGUUAAUGUGAUUACAUUGAAAGGAGGUGAAGUUCUAGCGGUGGAGUUACAGGGUCACACUGGUCCAUGUGUUCCUGAGGUGAUGUACGGGGAAGACCAUGUGUAUACCACCUGACUGGAUUAUUCUGGCUAUUCAUUUGAUCAAGCUAACAGAAACCACGCCCAACCGUGACUCUUCCCGUCCUCUACUUUAGUAUGAGGAACUCGCAAGCCCUUUGCCUUCCUGUCUCUUCCUCUCUUUCUGGAAUGUUCCUCAUUCUUUUCUAGAAUGUUCCUAUUCUAGAUUGAAGCUUUCUUUACCUCAUCCCAAGUGCCCUGGGAAUAGCCCUUGAAACUGUGGAUGCAUUGCUACUCAGCAGGGACGAGUUAUUUUUGAAUUAAAUGAAUUUGAAAGGAGAACUAUCACACAGUACUGGUACCACCUAGUUUAAGGCAGGAGGAAGGUGGACACAAAACACCAUUGAUGUCAUGAAAAUGCUCACUGAAUACACACGUACCCCUGCAAAGCAGAUGCCUUCUUUUACGGUCCUAGGACACGCAUGUGUAGUGUGCAGUGAGAUUUGCUUUGUUUUGUUUCAGAGAGGGUAUACAGCCCUAGGCUGGCCUUGAACUCUCUAGGUAGCCCAGGGUGGUUUUAAACUGGAAUUACAAUAUUCACCACACUCCCAGCUUAAGGGUACAGGUCCUUUGAAGGACUGGUAUUGUCAGGAAAUAGCUUUCUGAGAGCCACAUUACAUAAUGUUUUAGUUAGUGUAACAGCCAAGGUAACAUAGAAUUUCUGUCCUCAGACCAACACCGGCCACUUUCAGAUAAAACAAUAGCCAGUACUCCCUCCCACAAUGUUCAAACAAACCAACCAAAUGAAAACAAUGCACCUAGUACGUUCAAAAUAGGAACAACAAUGAAACAUAUUGCGGGAAAACGGUUUAUUCCAUAAACUAAUUUAAGCCCCUAAAUUCUAUGUUCCUGCUAAUGGAAAAAUUAGCUCCUUGGGCCUGAGAGUCCAUGUUUGUUUUAAUUAUUAUUUUAUUAAUAAUUCUCCAGCACAAGAAGAAAAGGCCAAGAUAGCCCAUUGAGAUGAGCUAGUUUUUCAGGCAGACAAUAGUCUGAAUAUUGAAAUAGAACUUAAAUCAGUCACCAAAUGAGGUAGUGUUCUACAAAGAUUGGACUGAAAACCUUGCCAUAGGGAAAGACUAC